GACAAGUGUUUUACAGGACUGCUUUAACUGUACACCACACACACAUUUGCAGUCUGCAGAAGGAGCUGAAACUGAGAGCGCUUCAUGCUCUGCUGCUCCGUGAGGAUAUCUUUGGCCAUGUAGCCGUCGCUUGCGUCUUUCCUGUAAGUUAAUAUAUUUGUGUUUAUUAUUGUGGAGAUUUUAUUUACUCCGCUGGAUUGAAAGUGUGAAUUAUUCAGCCUGAUCCUGAGAGAAUCAGAGAGAGAGAGAGCGAGAGAGAGAGAGAGAGAGAGAGAGAGAGAGAGAGAGAGAGAGAGAGAGAUUAUGAUAGAAAAUAGACCCGAGAUUUGAUGUGACAGAAAAAAUAAAAUGGACAAAAGUUUAUUAUUGAGGAUUUUACUGGGAAAGAUUCUGUUCUAUAAUGUAAAAAAGAGGCGCAGAGCUGCGUGGCGGGACAGAAGGUUCUGGAUGAUUCAGAUGUUUGUGUGUAUGGUGUUGGGCAGGUUUAGACAAAGUCCAGGUAUUACCGUGUGUGUGGUGUGUGUGUGUGUGUGUGUGUGUGUGACAUGGUGGUCAUGUCGAGUGAAUUCACAAAUUUAGUUUUAGUUUCUGAAAAGCAGUUGGUGUUAGUUUAUAUUUCUCUGAUCUGAAGGACAGGAUUUAUCAAAUACACCACAGAUAAACGGUUCUUUUUAACGUUUAAAGGAUAAACUUAGCCAAGAACAUAAAAUAAAGUUUAACAUUAAGAAAAGAACAUAAGGGUUAACACAACACAUUUUGCAUUUACAUUUAGAUUUAAAUACAAACAGGAAGUGUUUUAUUGUAGAUAAUAAACUCAUAAUGAUCAUGUUUUAUUAAGUAUCUAUUCAUUAAUUAAAGGAGAUGUUUGUGUAAGCUGACAGGAUGGUUAUGUUCCCAUGGUUACAGAUCUCUGGAGGAGGAAGAGGAGUUAAAACAUAUCUGCCAAGGGAUGUGUCACUCAGUCCUUCUGCCCCGGUGUCAGAUGUCAUGUGGGGGGGCCACGCCCAUGGAAGUCCCCCUGCAGUCUGCACUCGGGGUCCAGCGGGCCUGCAGUGGACAGCGCCGGGUCUACACCGACCUGCCUAUUGAGCCCCAGAUUCCAAAAGCAACCACAAAAACCACAAAAACCUUUUUCGCUUUUGGCGUCUGUUGCUUGGUUGGCAGGCUCUGUGGUUGGCUUGCCGUUGAAAAAACCACCUUUUAUUAAAGCUCUUCAAUGCUGUACGCCAUUUCCAACUUAACACCAAAAAAAAAUCAAUAAAAACAGUAAAAUCAUGGAACGUAAAAUGUCUCUGGUGUUGUUUUUUUGUUUUAAAAAAUGUUAAUCAUUUAACCUGCAGGUGUGUAACGUUUAUUACACUUUAGUGUGAUAAUGAGGGAACUAAAAUAUAUUUCUUCUACUUUUAAUAAUCAGAAGCUACUAUACUUUAGAGAUAUUACAGGUUACUGUAUUGCCAAGAG
ensembl:lncRNA